AACAUAGCUUUCAGUCAAGUCUUGGGUUUGAAAGAUUGGGGGUGAGGCCUGCCCAGUGGUCGGUCCUGAAUUUAAAUAAUGAGAAAGGUUGUUUAAUUAAAGACGACUAAACGGCCGCGGUAACUCUGACCGUGAUAAUGUAGCGUAAUAAAUAGUCAAUUAAUUGUUGACAUGUAUGAAUGGCGUAACGAGUGCCCCGCUGUCUCUAGAUAAAAACCAAUGAAAUUGAAAGAGUAGUGAAGAUGCUACAUACAAAUUGUAAGACGAGAAGACCCCGUCGAGUUUUACUGGAAUUUUAAAUAGUUUCGGAUAAAUUAAAGAGAAGAUUAUAGGGGAAGAUUUGAAAAUACCCUUUUUUAAGGGUUUAGAAACUAGAGAUAACUUUAAAAUGAAGUUUUUGAAAUGUUUAAGAGGGACAGUUUGGUUGGGGCGACCGCCUUCUAAAGAGUAACGAAGGUGAACAUAAGGUAAAUAGAAUCAAUAGAAUAUUUUAAGCUUGACAGUAAGGAAGAAUUCCGAGCUGACACGAAUUAGAUUGUGGGUUAUUAUGACCCGUUAGUUAAGUGUGGAAUUGCUAACGAUCAACUAAUAAAAGUUACCGCGGGGAUAACAGCGUAAUUUUGUUUGAGAGCCCUUAUCGAUGACAAAGUUUCC
rnacentral:rRNA from 1 species